rnacentral:rRNA from 1 species
UACGAAGGGGGCUAGCGUUGCUCGGAAUUACUGGGCGUAAAGGGUGCGUAGGCGGGUCUUAAGUCAGAGGUGAAAUCCUGGAGCUCAACUCCAGAACUGCCUUUGAUACUGGCGACCUUGAGUCCGGGAGAGGUGAGUGGAACUGCGAGUGUAGAGGUGAAAUUCGUAGAUAUUCGCAAGAACACCAGUGGCGAAGGCGGCUCACUGGCCCGGUACUGACGCUGAGGUGCGAAAGCGUGGGGAGCAAACAGG